UACGGAGGGUGCAAGCGUUUAAUCGGAAUUACUGGGCGUAAAGCGUGCGUAGGCGGUUCGUUAAGUCUGUUGUGAAAGCCCCGGGCUCAACCUGGGAAUGGCAAUGGAUACUGGCGAGCUAGAGUGUGUCAGAGGAUGGUGGAAUUCCCGGUGUAGCGGUGAAAUGCGUAGAGAUCGGGGAGGAACAUCAGUGGCGAAGGCGGCCAUCUGGGACAACACUGACGCUGAGGCACGAAAGCGUGGGGAGCAAACAGG
rnacentral:rRNA from 1 species